rnacentral:lncRNA from 1 species
GGGGCGUCGCCGAGGUCCCCUGCAUGCGCCGGGGCGUCCCCGGGUCCCUCCGGAGUGUCACCGGGGUCCCCUGCAUGCGCCGGGGCGUCACCGGGUCCAUCUGGGGCGUCCCUGGGUCCAUCCGGGGCAUCACCGGGGUCCCCUGCAUGCGCCGGGGCGUCCCCGGGUCCCUCCGGAGUGUCACCAGGGUCCUCUGGCUGCUCCAGAGCAUCCCUGGGUCCAUCCGAGGUGUCACCGGGGUCCCCUGCAUGCGCCGGGGCGUCACCGCGGUCCCCUGGCUGCUCCAGGGCAUCCCUGGGUCCAUCUGGGGUGUCACCGGGGUCCCCUGGAUGCUCCGGAGUGUCCCUGGGUCCAUCCGGAGCAUCCUUGAAGUUCCCCAGCUGCUCCGGAGUGUCCCUGGGUCCAUCCGGGGUGUCCUUGGGCCCAUCCGGGGUGUCCCUGGGUCCAUCCGGGCUGUCUGCGGGGUCCCCCGGCUGCUCUGGAGCAUCCCUGGGUCCAUCCGGAGCAUCCUUGAGGUUCCCCGGCUGCUCCGGAGCGUCCUUGGGCCCAUCCGGGGUGUCCCUGGGUCCAUCUGGGUGUCCCCAAGGUCCCCCAGCCACUCCAGGAUGUCCCUGGGUCCAUCCGGGGUGUUUCCGGACCCCUCUGUCCCUCCCAGAGCGUCCCCGGAUGCCCCUGUCCCCUCCGGAGCCCCUCUGGAUGCCCUUGUCCCCCCUCGGGAUGUUCCCAGGUCCCCCGGCCCCUCUGGAGCUUUCCUGGGUGCCCCUGUCCCCCUUGGGGUGUCCGUGGGUCCCCCGUCCCCUCCGGAGCCACUCCGGGUGCCCUUGUCCCCCCUCGGGAUGUCCCCGGGUCCCCCACGGUGUCCCCAGUUGCCCCGACCGCCCUCACGUGUCCGUCCGUCCCCCCCCCGCAGGGCUCAGCACCGCCAGCAGCAUCUCGUCGCCCUCGGAGCUGUCGGACGGUUCCGGCUCCGGCUCGGGCUCCGGCUCGGGCUCCGGCUCCGGCUGGGGCUGGGGCUCGCUGAGCUCGGCCUACUCGAGCGCCUCGGCCCCCAGCCCCGAGGGCCCCAUGGAGCUGGGGGGGUCCCCCAGCCCCCCCGUGCCGCCCCCCGCCUUCGCCGACGGCCCCGACGGCCUCCAGGUGGACGUGGUGACGCUGGCCCGGCAGAUCAUCGAGGCGACGCCGGAGCGGAUCAAGCACGAGGCCGCCGGAGCGCCGGAGGCUCCGGGGCGGGAACGCCCGGCCCCCGGGGGGGGGCUCAGCGCCGCCAUGGCCUGGCUGGCAACUUACCUGGAGAGCGUCGACCGCCCGCCCGGCGCCGCCCGGCACAGGUAGGACCGCGCGGCACGAGGGGGGGACACGGCAC